GCUGGGCGAGGUGGUGCAUGCCUGUAGUCCCAGCUACUAGGGAGGCUGAGGCUGGAGGCUCGCUUGAGCCCAGGAGUUCUGGACUGUAGUGCGCUAUUCUGAUCGAGUGUCCACACUAAGUUCGCCAUCAAUAUGGUGACCUCCCGGGAGUGGAGGACCACCAGGUUGCCUAAGAGGGGUGAACCGGCACAAGUAGGAAACAGAGCAGGUCAAAACUCCCAUGGCUGAUCAGUAGUGGGAUCGAGCCUGUUAAUAGCCACUGUACUCCAGCCUGGGCAACACAGCGAGACCCUGUCUCU
rnacentral:SRP_RNA from 1 species